rnacentral:rRNA from 1 species
AUGGGGAGGUUGGUCUACACCAAUUCGGUGGUGACUGCUACUGCCACAUUCUUUUUGACAUCAUUUCAACCGGAUAAGUGGCUGAUUAAAAAGGUGGACAAGCUUAGAAAGAACUUCCUUUGGGAGGCGGAUGACGCAUCGAUUGGUGGGAAAAGUCUGGUAAACUGGAAGCAAGUUUGCUCUCCAAAGAGAUAUGGAGGUUUGGGCAUAAAAAAUAUCGAGUGCUUUAGCCGAGCACUGAGACUUCGUUGGGAAUGGUACAGAUGGGGGGACAGAGAUAGACCGUGGAAAGGGACAGAUACGCCAUGCGAUAGUGUUGAUAAGCAGCUCUUCUCCAGCUGCACUAAGGUCUCUUUGGGCGAUGGAACUUUGGCUAGCUUCUGGAGGGACAGGUGG